CGCGGGGUGGAGCAAUUGGUAGCUCGUUGGGCUCAUAACCCAAAGGCUGCAGGUUCAAGUCCUGCCCCCGCUACAA
rnacentral:tRNA from 1 species